UACGGAGGGUGCAAGCGUUAUCCGGAUUCACUGGGUUUAAAGGGUGCGUAGGUGGGUUAGUAAGUCAGUGGUGAAAUCUCCGAGCUUAACUUGGAAACUGCCAUUGAUACUAUUAAUCUUGAAUAUUGUGGAGGUCAGCGGAAUAUGUCAUGUAGCGGUGAAAUGCUUAGAGAUGACAUAGAACACCAAUUGCGAAGGCAGCUGGCUACACAUAUAUUGACACUGAGGCACGAAAGCGUGGGGAUCAAACAGG
rnacentral:rRNA from 1 species